UACAGAGGUCUCAAGCGUUGUUCGGAUUUACUGGGCGUAAAGGGCGCGUAGGCGGCCAGCACAAGUCAGUUGUGAAAUCUCCGAGCUUAACUCGGAAAGGUCAACUGAUACUGUGCGGCUAGAGUGCAGAAGGGGCAACUGGAAUUCCUGGUGUAGCGGUGAAAUGCGCAGAUAUCAGGAGGAACACCGAUGGCGAAGGCAGCUUGCUGGGACGGUACUGACGCUGAGACGCGAAAGCGUGGGGGAGCAAACAGG
rnacentral:rRNA from 1 species